rnacentral:rRNA from 2 species
AGGACCCGUCUUGAAACACGGACCAAGGAGUCUAACAUGUGCGCGAGUCAUUGGGACUGUAAAGCCUAAAGGCGCAAUGAAAGUGAAGGUCGUCCUUAGCGUCGACCGAGGGAGGAUGGCUCGCGUCACGAUGCGAGCCCGCACUCCCGGGGCGUCUCGUGCUCAUUGCGAGCAGAGGCGCACCCAGAGCGUACACGUUGGGACCCGAAAGAUGGUGAACUAUGCCUGGUCAGGACGAAGUCAGGGGAAACCCUGAUGGAGGUCCGUAGCGAUUCUGACGUGCAAAUCGAUCGUCGGAACUGGGUAUAGGGGCGAAAGACUAAUCGAACCAUCUAGUAGCUGGUUCCCUCCGAAGUUUCCCUCAGGAUAGCUGGCACUCGCUUGAGCGAGUCUCAUCUGGUAAAGCGAAUGAUUAGAGGCCUUGGGGCCGAAACGACCUCAACCUAUUCUCAAACUUUAAAUGGGUGAGAUCUCUGGCUUGCUUGAACGUUGAAGCCACGAGAUAUUUUCAAAUGGAUCAGAGUGCCAAGUGGGCCAAUUUUGGUAAGCAGAACUGGCGCUGUGGG